rnacentral:tmRNA from 1 species
AAAGCGAGAUUUAAAUCAGACGGCUACACAUGUAGAACUGUUCGAAGAAGGUUUGCGGACGCGGGUUCAAAUCCCGCCAGCUCCACCA